rnacentral:rRNA from 1 species
UUGACCUCGGAUCAGGUAGGAAUACCCGCUGAACUUAAGCAUAUCAAUAAGCGGAGGGAA